UCCCUGGAGGACUAGUGGGUAUGCCAUGGCGCUCUCUCACCGCCGUGGCCUGGGUUCAAUUCCCAGCCAGGGAA
rnacentral:tRNA from 1 species